UACGUAGGGUGCGGAGCGAUUGAAUCGGAAUACUGGGCGUAAAGUGUGCGCAGGCGGCCGCGCAAGUCGAGUGUGAAAGCCCCGAGCUUAACUUGGGAACUGCGCUCGAAACUACGUGGCUGGAGUGUGGCAGAGGAAGGUGGAAUUCCAGGUGUAGCGGUGAAAUGCGCAGAUAUCAGGAGGAACACCGAUAGCGAAGGCAGCUCGCUGGGACGUUACUGACGCUGAGACGCGAAAGCGUGGGGAGCGAACAGG
rnacentral:rRNA from 1 species